AGAGAGACAGAGAGAGAGAGACACAGAGACAGAGAGAGACAGACAGAGACAGAGAGACAGAGAGAGAGACAGAGAGACAGACAGAGAGACAGACAGAGAGAGCAACCUUUAUUAUAUACAGUCUACAGCACUGAAAUCAUCAAGAGUGCACCUGACUGACCCCGUUACGUUGGCAGCUGGGAGGCAGAUAGCCAGCACACCCACCGCCGGCCUCGAGUAUCGCCCUCUUUAUCUGGCCCGCUAGACCAAAUAGCUCCUCGCAGUGAACACGACUGUUUACCAUUGGCAGAGCAUUUUGGAACAUGUUUCUUGGGCGCGCCCCACAU